AGCUCCCGCCGCCGCCUCCGCCGUCUACUUCCCCGGCGUCGUCACGGUCGUCCUCGCCUGCACACGGCAAGAGGAGCGCCCCCACCCUCUCCUCUCCUCCUCCCCUCAUCACGAGCCAGGAUAGGGAGGGCCACCGUGGCCGGGCAGGUCAGGCGGCGCGUCCAGAUCACCGAGGAGCCGCCCGCAAGGUCGGCCAUGGCGCAACCGAGCAGAGCAAGUGAGGAGGGAGACGCUGGUUCCUCUUUCCCGCUGUUUAUAUAGGUACUACGCUUGUCGUGGAUUGCUGCCUCACGUGUACGCAGAGCACAUCUUGGGUGUUUAGGCCUCAGGCUUUCUUGGGUUUAUUAAGUGAAAGAGUUAGAUUAGCCAGCCAGUUAUCUUUCGGUUUGCACAUAAAUCCUUCAUCUUUAGUACCUGAGCUCAGCCGUCUUGUGAAUCUUUAGUACCUGGAGUUGUACAGGAACAACCUCAAUGGCGAGAUCCCAAAAGAAUUGGGCAAACGGAAGAAAUUGAUCGGUUUGGAUUUGUAUGGCGAUAAUCACCGGAAGAAUCCCCAAGUCACUUUCCAAGCUCAGCUCACUAAUAUUGAUAUUCAUGCACCUCCGGGAAGAGGACGACCCGCGGUGAGCAGCAUCUGAUCCGCCGUGCGAAGUUAGCUAGCGGGGGUCGGGUCCCAAGGGGUAGAGAUGCAGUUCUCUAGAGCUACUGGGAAGAAGAAGGUACUGAUUUCGUCUCGACUCGGUGCAACUACUCCACGAUUGAUUCAAUCCAAUUUUCUGAGCCCAGACCAAAAUAUUUGUUGAACAACUUGCCUCAAGUAUAUUGGGACCCUUUGUGAUCUAUAUUAGAUCUGCAAUGGGCUGAAGAACGAGGCAGUCCUUGGAAGCAGCACGUACAUGUGAUGCCCCUCUCACUCUGGUUCUAAGAUGGAGUUCAAUCUUGUGUCCCUGCUUCAGGGAAAUACCAUUUGGCGUAUCCGUGUGUAUGUCUCACGACUAUGGCAGCACCGUGGUGGGACUGAUAAUGAACCCAUUACGGAUACAUACCGCCAGGGGUAACCACAUAUACGCUGAGGUGCUAGAAAUAAUAUCAACAGCUUCAUGGAAUGUAUUGAAGAAGGUGAUGUCAUCAUGACUCCAGCAACUCCACUUACGCAUCCAGCAAUCUUGCAGGGAAUAGUUCUAAACCAUCGGCUUCAGUUGGCAUGUUACCUGAGGGUCGUACUUCCCAUUACAGGCCGGCGAGAUGGCAGAUUCGGUUAGUGAGAAGAUCGUCCAAAAGAACAUCGUCGAGAAAGACGAGCUGAUGCAAAGAGGUUUGAACCAUUUGUUCCUGUUAUUGCCCCAGUGAGUGAGGGAAAGAAAGGCAGGAAGAAGUGAUCCCUUCUGUUAGCUUCUCGUGGCCAGGGUCGCAAUGUACGUGGAGGUGUUCAAUAGAGGGGACAUUUUGCCGCCCUAUAGCAUCAGGAAGAGGAACAGCAGGACCGGGCUGCGCUUCACCUAUAACGAUGGCAUCUGCCUGAACUCAGUUAACCUGAACUCCAUAACUGAAGCUAUGUUUAUUCUGUGCCUUUGAAGAUGUAUAGUGGUGGUGCAGACGAACUGAUCUUCCUGUUCGUACUCCUACAUUGCAUAUCUGAAUUUGGCCAAGAAUGGACCCCAAUGCUUCUAUUGCCUCAGAGGCAUGCUGACCUGCUCUGCCUCCCCCUAAUUUCUAUCUUACACUCCUUUAUGCCCUUCUGCUUCUUGAUUUGAUGUGCCCUGCUAUCAUGCUUCUUGGGUCAAGUUACUUAGUUUUUGGAGCUCUUGCUUUGUUUACCUCUUUGUUAUGUUCUAUGUCUUCCAGAUAUAUUGGUUAAAACCCAUCAGAUUGUUGCUCUUGAUUUGAAAUUCAGUUGAUAUGAAGCAAAUAAAAGGCAUGCAGUGCUUUACGAUUUGAGCCGCCGCCCCUCCGGCCUGCCCGCCGGCGGCACACUGCUCUUCCGGCCGCCCCUGAGCCCACGCGGCUCGCGGGAUCAUGCGCAGCCCCAGAGCAGCACACAGCUCACUGGUCCGAUUCGUGCCACCCACGCCAACCUGAGAUCCGCCUCUGCAGGACGUGAUGGCCAGAUCGUCGCGAGCCCCUACCCUGACCCCAAGGUUGCUGGCAGCAUCAACCCCGACGGCGAGGUCACCGUCACCCCCAACCUUGACGCCCAGGUCAGCAGAAGGUACAUUUGAUUGCUGGUACAUUUGUUGUCUGAAGGCCCAAAGUUUUUAAAUCUAACUUUAACCAAAGCCUUGUGAUUUAUCCAACUGAAGAUCCAAAGCUUGUAGUUGAAAUGAUAGUUAGGUGGUACAAGGACCGGCAUCAUGUGUACCUCAUUCAUGUGGAUACUAAAAUGUGCUCUCAUCCGCUAUUUUGCUAGGACUUCUUUGUUCUCUUUCUUAAUGCAGUCGUUGAUAAGAUAAUUUUUAUAAUGUUGUAAGCCCGUAGAGAACAUAUGUUUCAUAGUCAGUAGAAUUGAGAACAUUGUACAUUGUACAAGGUGUUUAGUAAUUCAUUUUUAGAGUGUGGAUUUUGUUUCGUCACGUUAGUAAAACCAGUAGCACCGUGGAUCAUUUUGGUACUGCUAAAAUUUGGUCUUCCAUAAGAGAAUGGCUUGUGCACAACCUUUUAUUUUGAUGGAUCUAUGGAAUUGAUUUUAACAACAUUGUGGACCUGAACUGUUGUAUGACAGGGUUAGUAUUGGUUGCCUAUUCUCACCAGCCAGAAAAUUUUACAAUGUACUAAUAAAGGGAAAACAUCCGAUCAACAAUCAAGAGUGUCUCGUGACAAAGUUUUGGGUUUGCAUCUGUCACCUACUAUGUAGAGUAUCUAUUUGAAACAUUACAAACCCCAACAUUGGUCUUUCCAUUAACUGUUUCACUAACACCCAGAGUCGGUACUGGUUUUUUACAUGAAACAAAGAAGUGUUGAUCGUAUUGUAUAUUGCAGAAGGUAGAUUAAGUGAGGUGACCUACUUUCUCACUACUUAUUUGCUAUUGACUUUCUUAACCAUCAUCCUAUGCCUUCAUGUUUGUUAGGGUUUAUAUUUUGUUGCAUUAACUAAAGCACCAUGUUUUGUUAUUUUACUCUGUUCAUUUUUAUAAGGUGUGGAUGGAAGAGUGACAAUAACUACAGGUUGGUCAAAGAUUGAAAGAAAUUCUCCUUUAAAUUAGUUUGGUCAAAGACAUGUAUGUUUCCUUGGUCUACAGAAUGUCAGUUUACUAAUCUUGCUAAAUGUUUCCAGGAAUAUGUUGCUUGAUGUUAGUUUACUAAUCUUGCCUUCUUGAUAGUUCCUUCUUGGUCACUGUAGAUGUCUAUUGUUGUAAAAAUGUUGAGAUAUCUUCUCCAGGAAUAUGGUUUUUUCUUCACUUUCAGGCCAAUGCUACUCAACUUCUCUUUCAGCGACCUUUUCUUUGAGCGACGAGAAAUUUCAACCGUCCUUGGCGAAGGACUGCUAUCUGAUUGUCACUAGCCUCUUGUGUAAAUGCUUCGCUUUCAAUAUUUUGCACUGUCUUGCUGCCUAUGUGCUACUCAAGCCUGAUCUAUUAAACAUUACUUGGCCUAUUCCUUUGUGCCGAGUUUGAUGUGCCUCAAUUGUACUCUAUGAUAAGUACUUUGAUUGGAAAAUUCAUGAGGUUAAAGAUUUGCAUUGCUUUUCG